rnacentral:rRNA from 1 species
UACGGAGGAUGCGAGCGUUAUCCGGAUUUAUUGGGUUUAAAGGGUGCGUAGGCGGCGAGUUAAGUCAGCGGUAAAAGCCCGGGGCUCAACCCCGGGACUGCAUUUGGAACUGUGCUGCUAGAGUGUCGGAGAGGCAGGCGGAAUUCCUAGUGUAGCGGUGAAAUGCGUAGAUAUUAGGAGGAACACCAGUGGCGAAGGCGGCUUACUGGACGGAAACUGACGUUGAGGCUCGAAAGCGUGGGGAGCAAACAGG